GUCUACGGCCAUACCACGUUGAAAACACCGGUUCUCGUCUGAUCACCGAAGUUAAGCAACGUCGGGCCCGGUUAGUACUUGGAUGGGUGACCGCCUGGGAAUACUGGGUGCUGUAGACUUUU
rnacentral:rRNA from 1 species